CGGUGCCCGCUUAGGCAGCACAGAUCCUAAAAAAUUGGAACGAUACAGAGAAGAUUAGCAUGGCCCCAUGCAAGGAUGAUGCGCAAAUUCUCAAAGCAUUUUAUAUUUUA